UACGUAGGGGGGCAAGCGUUGUCCGGAAUCAUUGGGCGUAAAGGGCGCGUAGGCGGCCUGGCAAGUGGAAGGUGAAAUCCCUCGGCUUAACCGAGGAACUGCCCUCCAAACUGCUUGGCUUGAGACCGGGAGAGGUGAGUGGAAUUCCCAGUGUAGCGGUGAAAUGCGUAGAUAUUGGGAGGAACACCAGUGGCGAAGGCGGCUCACUGGACCGGUACUGACGCUGAGGCGCGAAAGCGUGGGGAGCAAACGGG
rnacentral:rRNA from 1 species